AUCGAACAUACACGGAACCGAGGCGUUAAAAUAUAUACAUAUACGCGUUGAAUUUAAAUUUAAAAACAUGUAUUUUCGCCGCAUAUUAUAAGUUUUUAAAGUCUGUUAAAACAGUUUUUAUAGUUUAUUUAAAUACUUUCGAGAUAAAUACACGGUAUUCGCACCGCUUUCAUUCUACAAAAAGAUAUUGGGAAUAUCUGUUUAGGUAAAUAAUAUUAUUAUAACGAUGUUUAAAAAAAGUAAGUAUACCAAGAUGUGUUCACGUCACAACGCGCGGCGAAGAUGCGUAAACUGGUUCGGGUCGCACGGACUCCGUAUCGUCUAUUCCAAACUCUUCCGUAUUAUGCAAAUCAAUUAUUUGUGUUUUAAUUGUUAAUGAAAUCAUUGUUGUUUCUUUUUUUUCUUUAUCUAUACUCUACAUAAG